UCCAGCGGGACGAUUCAAAAUCUCAUGAAGAAUCAUGGCGCCCCAAAGGAGUAUUGGAAUACGUACGAAAUACGUCAAAUAACCACUGCAAGUCGUUAUCAGAAGGCAAGACAAAGGCAAAACAAAGGCAGAGUAUACAUCUGACCUGCAGUCAGAGGAGGACAAUGGUACGCAGAAAAGAAAGAAAAGGUACACAGCUGAAUCGGAUAGUGACCUGGAGGUUUCCUCCCCACACAAAAAAGAAAGCAAUGGAGAGAGGUUCUCUGCCGCUGCCACCAUCACCACCAACAAUGCUGCAGAAGAGCAUGCCUGUGGCUGAUGAGACAACACAGCAGGCAUGUCAGAGAGAGAGACAUGCUCAGCAGUGGAGCGACAGCUCAUCCGGAUGUUGGAGGAGGUGCGCGAGGAUGUUGCACAGAACACGAGGAUCCUCAACAUGCUUUUAAAAGCAACUUCCACAGAAGGACCGGAGCAGGCCACCUUGCCAGAAGAUGUCACCAUUCCUCUAGCAAGAAUGGAGGACGUCGACCACCUGGAGCUCUUGCUAGAGGAUAGCAGU
rnacentral:misc_RNA from 1 species